rnacentral:rRNA from 1 species
CGAGCGGACAGAUGGGAGCUUGCUCCCUGAAGUCAGCGGCGGACGGGUGAGUAACACGUGGGCAACCUGCCUGUAAGACUGGGAUAACUCCGGGAAACCGGGGCUAAUACCGGAUAAUUCUUUCCCUCACAUGAGGGAAAGCUGAAAGAUGGUUUCGGCUAUCACUUACAGAUGGGCCCGCGGCGCAUUAGCUAGUUGGUGAGGUAACGGCUCACCAAGGCAACGAUGCGUAGCCGACCUGAGAGGGUGAUCGGCCACACUGGGACUGAGACACGGCCCAGACUCCUACGGGAGGCAGCAGUAGGGAAUCUUCCGCAAUGGACGAAAGUCUGACGGAGCAACGCCGCGUGAGUGAUGAAGGUUUUCGGAUCGUAAAACUCUGUUGUUAGGGAAGAACAAGUACCGGAGUAACUGCCGGUACCUUGACGGUACCUAACCAGAAAGCCACGGCUAACUACGUGCCAGCAGCCGCGGUAAUACGUAGGUGGCAAGCGUUGUCCGGAAUUAUUGGGCGUAAAGCGCGCGCAGGCGGUUCCUUAAGUCUGAUGUGAAAGCCCCCGGCUCAACCGGGGAGGGUCAUUGGAAACUGGGGAACUUGAGUGCAGAAGAGAAGAGUGGAAUUCCACGUGUAGCGGUGAAA